rnacentral:rRNA from 1 species
AACGAACGCUGGCGGCAUGCCUAACACAUGCAAGUCGAACGAGACCUUCGGGUCUAGUGGCGCACGGGUGCGUAACGCGUGAGAACCUGCCCUUAGGUUCGGAAUAACUCCCCGAAAGGGGUGCUAAUACCGGAUAAUGUCUUCGGACCAAAGAUUUAUCGCCUUUGGAUGGGCCCGCGUUGGAUUAGCUAGUUGGUAGGGUAAAAGCCUACCAAGGCGACGAUCCAUAGCUGGUCUGAGAGGAUGAUCAGCCACACUGGGACUGAGACACGGCCCAGACUCCUACGGGAGGCAGCAGUGGGGAAUAUUGGACAAUGGGCGAAAGCCUGAUCCAGCAAUGCCGCGUGAGUGAUGAAGGCCUUAGGGUUGUAAAGCUCUUUUACCCGGGAUGAUAAUGAUAGUACCGGGAGAAUAAGCUCCGGCUAACUCCGUG